rnacentral:rRNA from 1 species
UGGGGAGCAAACAGGAUUAGAUACCCUGGUAGUCCACGCCGUAAACGAUGUCUACUUGGAGGUUGUGCCCUUGAGGCGUGGCUUCCGGAGCUAACGCGUUAAGUAGACCGCCUGGGGAGUACGGCCGCAAGGUUAAAACUCAAAUGAAUUGACGGGGGCCCGCACAAGCGGUGGAGCAUGUGGUUUAAUUCGAUGCAACGCGAAGAACCUUACCUGGUCUUGACAUCCACGGAACUUUCCAGAGAUGGAUUGGUGCCUUCGGGAACCGUGAGACAGGUGCUGCAUGGCUGUCGUCAGCUCGUGUUGUGAAAUGUUGGGUUAAGUCCCGCAACGAGCGCAACCCUUAUCCUUUGUUGCCAGCGAUUCGGUCGGGAACUCAAAGGAGACUGCCAGUGAUAAACUGGAGGAAGGUGGGGAUGACGUCAAGUCAUCAUGGCCCUUACGACCAGGGCUACACACGUGCUACAAUGGCGCAUACAAAGAGAAGCGACCUCGCGAGAGCAAGCGGACCUCAUAAAGUGCGUCGUAGUCCGGAUUGGAGUCUGCAACUCGACUCCAUGAAGUCGGAAUCGCUAGUAAUCGUGGAUCAGAAU